rnacentral:rRNA from 1 species
ACCUACUCUUGACAUCCUGCGAACUUGGUAGAGAUACCUUGGUGCCUUCGGGAGCGCAGAGACAGGUGCUGCAUGGCUGUCGUCAGCUCGUGUUGUGAAAUGUUGGGUUAAGUCCCGUAACGAGCGCAACCCUUGUCCUUAUUUGCCAGCACGUAAUGGUGGGAACUCUAAGGAGACUGCCGGUGACAAACCGGAGGAAGGUGGGGACGACGUCAAGUCAUCAUGGCCCUUACGAGUAGGGCUACACACGUGCUACAAUGGCCGGUACAAAGGGCGGCGAACUCGCGAGAGUCAGCGAACCCCUUAAAGCCGGUCUCAGUCCGGAUCGGAGUCUGCAACUCGACUCCGUGAAGUCGGAAUCGCUAGUAAUCGUGCAUCAGAAUGGCACGGUGAAUACGUUCCCGGGCCUUGUACACACCGCCCGUCACACCAUGGGAGUGGACUGCACCAGAAGUGGUUAGCCUAACGCAAGAGGGCGAUCACCACGGUGUU